UUACCCGUCCGUUGAUCACGGUUCAAUCUGUCAAUCACUGUCUCCCUUCUCUCUCUGAAGCCGCUCUAAUCACGCGCUGUCCUUCCUCGGUUCCUCCCAAUCCGCCUCAUGCAUCUCCGCUUCCCAAUUCGCUGCCCCCGUCUCCUCCCCAUUUCUUCCUCCCAAUCCGCGCUCCCGGACGCCAGAACCUGCCUCCCUCGCGUGCCGCUGCCGAGCUAUCGCGCUCGCGCUCCCCGCCGUGCGCGGCCCAGCCUCGUCUCGCUCAUCGAGCCCACCGCCAAAUCCACGACGCCGUGCGCACCUGCUCCUGGCGCCGUCGCUGGGAGUCAACCCCGGCAUCCGCAUCUUCUGGAGCUCCGCUGCAGCCGCCGCACCCCCGGCCGCCAUCGACGCCAUCCUUGCACAGUACAAUGUGGCCCAGGAUGCGAAUGUGAUGGGCGUGAAGCAUAUAUGCAGGUACUUUGGUGCUGUUUCGAACAUGAUUGUUCGCAAUAUCAUGGGAAUUGAGAUUAUGGAACUGCAAGUGCCGCACAUGCAGUAGGCACUAUAAUGGAAUGUUUGUUGGUUGUUCUGUAAUGUUUUACAUUUGUUUCAUGAAGCAAAUCACAAUUGCUGAGUCCAACAAUCCUGUCAUUGCAGAGCAUAGGUGACUUAAAAGCCUGGUGUAGUCACACAGAAAUGCAGCACGCGCAUCCAUCCAUUCAAGAUUGAUGCAGUUUUGGAGUAGAUAACAUACCGCUAGCCAUGAGAAUGUUAAAUAGAAUUGCUUUCAGAGUAAGGACGUUUGGUUUACAUGUCAAUAUUUUUUUUCUGAAUAAUGGCAAUGCUAGAAAUAUCUCUUGUUGUUAAUAUUUAUGAGAAAUAAUGUUCCAGUACAACUAUAUGUCCCAGCAUUAAUGCACUAGCGCUAUACAGAUUCUCAAAUAACUGGAGGUUGUUUUCAGUAUAAAGUUUGAUCCAACAUUUCAAAAAAUGUUCUAGAAGUUGAUAACCUUAUUUUUUUGGACUUUCUCAGGAUCAUCCAUAUAUACUGUAGUUGUUUCGAAAGAGAAAUGCAGAAAGCAAGACUUUUGAGAUGGAUUAGUUUUUUGUUAUAACAUGCUGAAGUGCAUUUCAGAUUCAUAAGUGCUUAGAAAACAGAUAAUUAAUUAUAACAAAAGCAAUUUGUUGUUUGAGAUGUUAGCUCUCAUGUCUAAAUCGCUUUAGAUUGAAUGACUUUGAUCUAUAUACACAAUUGUCAAUCCGUAUUUACUCCUGCUCUAAACCAAUCGGCAUUGUAAAAAAAUAUUGAAUGAACAUAUUCUGUUCUAUCUAUUAGCAUGGCACUUUCUGUUGUAUUUAUAACUUUAUUAGUAAGUGCAAAUGUUCUGAAAUAGUGACAAAGUUAUUCUCCUUUCUUUUAACUUCAGGUUUGUCAAAUUGGUUGAGUUAUUGCCAGGAUGAUCUAAACUAUGUGAUAGUGGGUCCAUGACAAGCUAGAUGAAAUAAUUCAUACUGCCUCUGACAGUCUGCUAGCAUGGUCUUGAUAAAAAUAGGAUGAUUCUAUGGCUUGAUGCCCUUCUAUAUGCUUUCUAAAUACCAUCGCACACUGUUUAUUUUCUUAUUGUAAUGGACAAUAAUAAAAGAUUUUCUGAAAUGACCUAUAUUUGGUUUAGUACCAUUGCACAUUGUUUACCGCAUUGAUAUAGCAUAUUUUCCAUUUCAGAUGGGUUAGUAUCACCUCUGAGAAUGUUUCAUUUGUUAACAUUCUUUUGUACAAAGUGGUCAGCUUCAUCAGAGGGAGAAGAGCCUCUCCGGGGCUAGAAAAGUCCUGAAGGUUGGCCUGACACCCAUGAAUUUUUUUCUCGGCCAGCAGCACCUACUUAGGGCCAGCAGCGUCUGGGUGUAUUUGAUGGAGUGUGAGCCAAUGAAUGACAUAUUUUUGUGCAAGACCGGGGUUAGAAUCCUGGGUGGUUGGCCCCACUACUGGGUGUCCAAGUUCAACCACUACAUUAUCCAUGCAUUUGCUAAUAAAUGCUAUAUAAGUUUAUAGAUGUUGAUUCUCCACUUCCUGGUAUUUCCUUCCAAUUUGGAAAUAUGACUUGUAUUGUUAUGCUUCAGACCCUUCUACUAUUUGGUUGUGAAGUCAGAAAUAUUACUUCAGAAUGAUUCCAAUUCUGAUGUCAGAAAUAUUUCCUUCCAAUUUGGAAAUAUUGUAUUGUUAUGUCUACAAUUUCAAAAUUUUCAUACUGUUGGUAAUAGUUGGAAUAUAUGGAACCAAUUCUGACUACUUGAUUCUUUUUCUUUCUUUCAACCUGUAGAGGCUGCAAAGUUUUAUUUACGGUAAGUAAUAUCUCACCAUCUCUCAAUUGCAUGGCACAUCAUGUAAAUUACAGUGUCCGAGUUUCAGUACUAAAAAUAGAAACAAAGUAUUGAUUACAGAUAUUCUGAUGCAACAUCAAGAGGGAAAUCUGCACUUGUUUUCUGUACUACAAGAAAAGGUGCACAAGAAAUAGCUACAGUGCCUUUCACAAACUGGAUAUGGAAUAUUACUUUACUGGUUCUUUUGAGGAAUCGAGUGAUAAGUAGAGGGAGCAAGCCAGUUGAUGGAUGACCAGUUAUAAUUUGUAUUUCCUCCUAAUUGUGAUGAUCAUUUGCCAAUACCACUGUAUCAUAAUAGAUAUCGAGUUACUGGUGUUAUUUAUGUUAUUGUGUCAUUAGAACAAAUUAGAGGAGCUUAAACGUUUUUAAUAUUGAAUUUAUAAGUUACUUUUUACGACAAGCUGCUACGUAUCAUGUAGGAAACUUCAAUGGAGACUCUUAAGUCUCAUAAUUAGGUUAACAUUGUGCAGCCCUAUUUCAGUUACAUUGUUCCGCUCUUGUACCGAAUAUAGAUCUUUUCACAUGG